GACGAACGCUGGCGGCGUGCUUAACACAUGCAAGUCGAACGGAAAGGCCCUGCUUUUGUGGGGUGCUCGAGUGGCGAACGGGUGAGUAACACGUGAGUAACCUUCCCUUGACUUUGGGAUAACUUCAGGAAACUGGGGCUAAUACCGGAUAGGAGCUCCUGCUGCAUGGUGGGGGUUGGAAAGUUUCGGCGGUUGGGGAUGGACUCGCGGCUUAUCAGCUUGUUGGUGGGGUAGUGGCUUACCAAGGCUUUGAUGGGUAGCCGGCCUGAGAGGGUGACCGGCCACAAUGGGACUGAGAUACGGCCCAGACUCCUACGGGAGGCAGCAGGGGGGAAUAUUGCACAAUGGGCGGAAGCCUGAUGCAGCAACGCCGCGUGCGGGAUGACGGCCUUCGGGUUGUAAACCGCUUUCGCCUGUGACGAAGCGUGAGUGACGGUAAUGGGUAAAGAAGCACCGGCUAACUACGUG
rnacentral:rRNA from 1 species